UAAGUAUUGGUCUCAUUUGUUUUUUAGGUGUUGUCGUGACUUGGCCUUUGGGUUGCCAGCCAGCUCAUGCCGGCCACAGGUGAAGAGUAGGCGUUGGUGUGAGGUAUGGGCAGGUUGGAGUGAAAGCCCAGUAAGGAGUUGACUUUUCCAGAGCGACCUCGACAGUUCAUGUAAGCUUGUUGGGGCCAGGUGGGACGUCUCAUUGGCACAUUUUGCUGUGUUGUGGCAGUUUGUGUUGUUCAGGUUUUGUGCAUCAGGAUUGGAGAUGUCGGAUCCGAAGGCGCCGACCAGAAGGACUCCGCUGGUUCGUUUUAAUUUUUAUUAUAAUAUGAAUUGAUUUUAUUUUGUUUUAGGUGUGUUUUGUAUUUCUUGUUAUAUUAAUAGUUUAAGUAGGUAUUUUAAGAAUUUUGUGUUGUAUUAA